rnacentral:lncRNA from 1 species
CUCCUGCUUCAGCCUCCCAAGCCCCUGGAUUACAGGAGUGCACUGCUGCAAUAAGGUCCCCCGAGCUGGUCUUAAACUCCUGAGGUCAAGCCAUUCUUCUCCCUUAGCCUCCUGAGUACCUGAGUAGCUGAGACUCCAGUUCAUGAGCCAUUUUUUUUUUCUUUUUCUUUUUGGUAACUGGAAUUGAACUUAGGAGUUCUACCACCAAGCUACAUUUUCAGACCUUUGUUUUUUU